UUGAACGCUGGCGGCAUGCUUUACACCUGCAAGUCGCACGGUAACAGGCCUUCGGGUGCUGACGAGUGGCGAACGGGUGAGUAAUGCAUCGGAACGUGCCCAGAGGUGGGGGAUAACGCAGCGAAAGCUGUGCUAAUACCGCAUGUGAUCUGAGGAUGAAAGCGGGGGACCAGGCAGCAAUGUUUGGCCUCGCGCCUUUGGAGCGGCCGAUGUCAGAUUAGGUAGUUGGUGGGGUAAAGGCCUACCAAGCCGACGAUCUGUAGCUGGUCUGAGAGGACGACCAGCCACACUGGGACUGAGACACGGCCCAGACUCCUACGGGAGGCAGCAGUGGGGAAUUUUGGACAAUGGGCGCAAGCCUGAUCCAGCAAUGCCGCGUGCGGGAAGAAGGCCUUCGGGUUGUAAACCGCUUUUGUACGGAACGAAAAGGCUCUGGCUAAUACCUGGGGCUGAUGACGGUACCGUAAGAAUAAGCACCGGCUAACUACGUG
rnacentral:rRNA from 1 species